rnacentral:rRNA from 1 species
UACGUAGGGUGCGAGCGUUGUCCGGAAUUACUGGGCGUAAAGAGCUCGUAGGUGGUUUGUCGCGUUGUUCGUGAAAACUCACAGCUUAACUGUGGGCGUGCGGGCGAUACGGGCAGACUGGAGUACUGCAGGGGAGACUGGAAUUCCUGGUGUAGCGGUGGAAUGCGCAGAUAUCAGGAGGAACACCGGUGGCGAAGGCGGCAUCCUGGACCAACACUGACGCUGAGGAGCGAAAGCCAGGGGAGCAAACGGG